CCAGAAGUAAGGCUAUGCCAUCCGUGAUAACAGAGAUAUUAAAGCUCAUCAUCCUGCUUGUGAUUUGUCUUUCUGAGAAAGACUGUGGAACGUCCCUCCUCCUGCCAGUCAGCUGUACUGAAGGACCCAGAAUCUCUCAACCCUUUGAACUGAGGAUUCUUCUAAGGCUUGACAUAUCCAUCUCCAGAUUGCUAUUCAAUCACCCAUGCUCAGAGAAGGAUCACAGAAUAGAAGAGUACCAGCUGGAGAAGCCACUGCUUCCCCCAUAAGCUGCCACCCUCCAAGGUCAUUUUCAGUUCAGCUUUUAAAGUACUUCUGGAUUUGAGUUAACAGCUUAAUGGAAAAUCCUUGACUACAAGCGCAGUGUCUUCUGUGGUUCUGUAUCUUUCACUAGA